rnacentral:rRNA from 1 species
GACAGAGGCCUCAAGCGUUAGGCGGAAUCACUGGGCUUAAAGCGUGUGUAGGCGGGUCGUUAAGUACCUUGUGAAAUCCCACGGCUCACCCGUGGAACGGCUGGGUAUACUGGCGAUCUUGGGCCAACUAGGGGCGACUGGAACAAGCGGUGGAGCGGUGAAAUGCGUAGAUAUCUGGAGGAACACCGGUGGCGAAGGCGGCAUCCUGGACCGGUAUUGACGCUGAGGCGCGAAAGCUAGGGGAGCAAACGGG